rnacentral:rRNA from 1 species
GAUGCUAUUUCUAGAGAUAGAAGUUACCUCGGUACAUCGGUGACAGGUGGUGCAUGGUUGUCGUCAGCUCGUGUCGUGAGAUGUUGGGUUUAAGUCCCGCAACGAGCGCAACCCCUAUUGUUAGUUGCCAUCAUUCAGUUGGGCACUCUAGCGAGACUGCCGGUAAUAAACCGGAGGAAGUGGGGAUGACGUCAAAUCAUCAUGCCCCUAUGACCUGGGCUACACACGUGCUACAAUGGUUGGUACAACGAGUUGCGAGUCGGUGACGGCGAGCUAAUCUCUUAAAGCCAAUCUCAGUUCGGAUUGUAGGCUGCAACUCGCCUACAUGAAGUCGGAAUCGCUAGUAAUCGCGGAUCAGCACGCCGCGGUGAAUACGUUCCGGCCGUU